rnacentral:miRNA from 1 species
CUACCACACUCGUCUCCGUUUCGGCCUCUGCAGGGUGUAAGCUGCUAAAGAAGCUUCAACCUUAAGGGGGCCUCAGGGAGAGAGUUGUG